UACUAUCUUCGGCAAGCUGGUGCCAUUUAGAUGUAUAGAUGGCUGAAGAGGGAAUCUGGUGUAAAUCCAGAACUGACGCGCAGCGGUAAAAGAGAACGAGUAUUCAUAAGACACUGCAAAUAGCUUUUUGUGGGAAGUCGAAUAUUAGGUAACCAUAAAGGUUGUGCUCUUGAGUCCGAAUACCUGCCAGCGGCCAAACCAUAAGA
rnacentral:ncRNA from 2 species